GACGUAGGGGGCCAGCGUUGUUCGGAAUUACUGGGUGUAAAGGGUUCGUAGGCGGUGCGGCAAGUUGGGAGUGAAAUCUCUGGGCUUAACCCAGAGGCUGCUUCCAAAACUGCCGUGACUCGAGUCCGGUAGGGGAGUGUUGGAAUUCCUGGUGUAGCGGUGAAAUGCGCAGAUAUCAGGAGGAACACCAGUGGCGAAGGCGGCACUCUGGGCCGGUACUGACGUGAGGAGCGAAAGCGUGGGGAGCGAACAGG
rnacentral:rRNA from 1 species